rnacentral:lncRNA from 1 species
GUUUAGACAUACCAAAAGUGAUGCUCUUCAAUUUAAAAACCGAUAAAGGUUGUAAUCAGCUGGUAAUGUUUUGACAGUAAAAUGAACUUCUGUUGUAUGUUUUUAUACAUAAUUGAACAUUUUGAUAAGAUUUAAUAAAACUACAUAAUUUUGUGGUGUUGGGAAACUUAUUUCCCUCACCAGGAGAUUGUUGCAUACAUGUACGGGUGAUCACUUCCAGACAGAGGCAGUUACAAAUUCUGUACGGGAAUGAGGAUUAUUUAUAAGACUGAAAUUAUUGUAUUAUUUGCUGGAAAUGUGGAAUAUGAGGAAUUUAAAGCCAUCCGUGAGUAGUUUUUGAUGAUUCAGCUGGACAAAUGCUGGAAAUCAUACAGUUUUCUCCCACCUUAAAACAGUACAUGGUAUAUCAUGGACACCAAAAGCAAAGAAAGAUCUAAAUGCCAUAAUUUUG